rnacentral:rRNA from 1 species
CCCGCUGAACUUAAGCAUAUCAAUAAGCGGAGGAAAAGAAACCAACAGGGAUUGCCUCAGUAACGGCGAGUGAAGCGGCAAGAGCUCAAAUUUGAAAUCUGGCCUCUUUGGGGUCCGAGUUGUAAUUUGGAGAGGAUGCUUCGGGUUCAGCCCCCAUCUUAGUGCCCUGGACCGGGCCGUCAUAGAGGGUGAGAAUCCCGUCUGGGAUGGGUGGUUGUGCUCAUGUGAAGCUCCUUCGACGAGUCGAGUUGUUUGGGAAUGCAGCUCUAAAUGGGUGGUAAAUUUCAUCUAAAGCUAAAUAUUGGCCGGAGACCGAUAGCGCACAAGUAGAGUGAUCGAAAGAUGAAAAGCACUUUGAAAAGAGAGUGAAACAGCACGUGAAAUUGUUGAAAGGGAAGCGCUUGCAUCCAGACUCGCCUGGUGAGGCUCCACCGGUCCCUGUACCGGUUCACUCCUCCCCGGGCGGGCCAGCAUCGGUUUGGGCGGUUGGUUAAAGGCUCCCGGAAUGUAUCGCCCUCCGGGGCGUCUUAUAGCCGGGAGUGCCAUGCAUCCAGCCCGGACCGAGGAACGCGCUUCGGCUCGGACGCUGGCAUAAUGGUUGUAAGCGGCCCGUCUUGAAACACGG